GCGCUCAUAGCUUAAUGGUAAAGCUUCCCGCUGUGGCCGGGAUGACACGGGUCCGAUUCCCGUUGAGCGCC
rnacentral:tRNA from 1 species